rnacentral:rRNA from 1 species
GGUGGGCGCUAGGUGUGGGUUCCUUCCACGGAAUCCGUGCCGUAGCUAACGCAUUAAGCGCCCCGCCUGGGGAGUACGGCCGCAAGGCUAAAACUCAAAGGAAUUGACGGGGGCCCGCACAAGCGGCGGAGCAUGUGGAUUAAUUCGAUGCAACGCGAAGAACCUUACCUGGGUUUGACAUAUACCGGAAAGCUGCAGAGAUGUGGCCCCCCUUGUGGUCGGUAUACAGGUGGUGCAUGGCUGUCGUCAG